rnacentral:rRNA from 1 species
GACGAACGCUGGCGGCGUGCUUAACACAUGCAAGUCGAACGGAAAGGCCCUGCUUUUGUGGGGUGCUCGAGUGGCGAACGGGUGAGUAACACGUGAGUAACCUGCCCUUGACUUUGGGAUAACUUCAGGAAACUGGGGCUAAUACCGGAUAGGAGCUCCUGCUGCAUGGUGGGGGUUGGAAAGUUUCGGCGGUUGGGGAUGGACUCGCGGCUUAUCAGCUUGUUGGUGGGGUAGUGGCUUACCAAGGCUUUGACGGGUAGCCGGCCUGGGAGGGUGACCGGCCACAUUGGGACUGCGAGACGGCCCAGACUCCUACGGGCGGCAGCAGUGGAGAAUAUUGCACAGUGGGCGGAAGCCUGAUGCAGCAACGCCGCGUGCGGGAUGACGGCCUUCGGGUUGUAAACCGCUUUCGCCUGUGACGAAGCGGGAGUGACGGUAAUGGGUAAAGAAGCACCGGCUAACUACGUG